ACAGCGAUUAGUGCAUUGACGAAUUUGUCGAUUGAGGAAGGAGAAGCUUGUCUACGAUCCAGAAAAUUCGACUUGACUAAACUCAUUUAUUGCUGAAAGUAACUACCCAAAGGCUGUAUUUAUUGUGCCCAAAAUAGAUUGUCUUGUACAUACUCUGUAUAUAUUUUGAUACGGUAUGGCACUAAAAAGAAUAACAAAGGAAUUCAAAGACUUUGACAAGGAGCCCCCUUCAAAUUGUUCAGCGGGUCCCGUCGGUGAUGACAUGUAUCACUGGCAAGCAACGAUAAUGGGUCCGCCCGACAGUCCAUACUCAGGUGGUGUGUUUUUCCUUUCUAUUCACUUUCCAACAGAUUACCCCUUCAAGCCUCCAAAGGUUGCUUUCACAACAAAAAUUUACCAUCCAAACAUCAACAGCAAUGGCAGCAUCUGUCUAGACAUCCUAAGAUCUCAGUGGUCACCAGCUCUCACUAUUGCAAAAGUACUCCUAUCAAUCUGCUCGUUGCUAACUGACCCGAAUCCAGACGACCCCCUCGUACCAGAAAUUGCAAAGCUCUAUAAAACUAACAAAAAGAAAUACGAAGAUGCUGCCAAGGAUUGGUGUCAAAAAUAUGCCCAGUGACAACACUAUUCUACAACUUUUUUUUGUAACAUAAAGGUGAGAUUGAAACCAUUGAUUGUAUGUUACAGUCGCAGCAACAAAAUAGACUCUAUCGUGAUCAAAGCUAUUAAAGUUAUUUUUUGCGUCGGUUUGGAAUUAGUUUUGUUGGUGUGACUAUAGCAUAAAGGAAUGCUUCCAGACUUACAAAGAAUGUUCUCAAUUAACAUCCUUAUAAACUUUGUAACGCCUCUGAUGUAAAAUUUUUUCCAACGAGGACGUCAUCAGUGGUUGUCUGGCCCGCCAUUUCCUGAUAUGAGAAUGCAAAACAUUUUUGAGAGGUUGGACUUACAUAUCGCCAGUGUUUGUCCCAAACCGUCUAAGAUUACUAGAAAUAUGCUGCCUGAAUUCAGAGAUUUGUGUUUUUAUUUUUACUCAAUUUUACGAAUUUGAGGAGGUAUGGUAAGAGAGCUUCAUGUGAUUAGUGAAUAUUCUUCAUUUCUUUGGUGGUUUCCUAUUAAAUCAAAACAAUUUCAAGGAAUUAUGGAAUUUAGAUGGCCAGUUCAUGAAUAUAGAGAUGUAAAAUGUGAAAUUUCAGCAAUGUUUUAGAAAUUUUUGACCAAAAUUGACUGAUACGACAGUUUGGAUGAACGCCAACAAUUUAUGCUUUUAACGGCUGUUUGAACGGCGUUAAAACGUUUUUGACUCGGCCCUAGCAUCACCAUUGUCUUCAUUGUUGUUUAUUGUCACGUUAUUGUCAUGGUAAUACAAUAUUUUCAUAUUUGAUUUCCAUCCUAUCGCAGGAGAGGAGAGCCAGAAGCAAUAUAAUGAUGAGAGAUUUGACCUGUUCUAACUUCACAGCAGCCUCAUAAACCAUGACAUCAGUGAACCCAAGGCCAUCUGGAUUAUUAUUUGAGAAAAAUUAUCGUCAUAUAUUUAAUAUUACUACCAUCACUCUGAAUCGCUUCUCUGCUACAUUCUUUUUUUCCCAUAUACAAUGAUUCAUGACUGUGUCUCUUUGUUUAAUAAACUUAAAAUAGUGGACAAGAAGAUAGAUGAUUAAAGUAUGUAUCCGAGGAAGAUUUGUCGGUAAAGUAUUACAUCAUGAUACACUGACGUAAACAUUUCCAUGCUAAAUUGCUAAUGUCUAUCUAUAGCUUUUUUUUUUUUUCAAUUUUUCAAUUGUGAAUUAUGCUAUAAACUUCCUAAGCACACUUAUGUACAUAUAUAUCUGUAUAUAUUCAAAGUUUUUAUGAUCAAUUUUAGCCCGAAUAUAUAAUCACCCUUUGGACAAUCCAGUGUAUCAUACAUUUUUCAACAGAUCACCUGCAUUUGGGGGCCUUUUGGGGGUUAGUACAGUAAUUCAGCUUGGAAAACUUGACGCCCUUGCUUUAUGGGCAUCCAAUUAUUUUAGGCAGUGAAGAAUACAUUAAAGACUGCUAGACAUUACAACAGGCCCUUUAAAAUGGUUUAUACCGUCUGUCUGUAAUAGAUGUUGGUUUUUAUUUUCAAAAUCUACAUGUACUUGUUUCAUGGAACAGUCAACCAGGAUGAUGGUAUGGGAAUAGAUUGUUCGAUGAAAUUCCUUCAGAAUUCUGCCUAUUACAAUGAUCUAAGUAUGGUAAUCAUGGUCAUGUUUCACUAGACCUGCUUACAGUAUUCAAAUCCUAGAAACCUGUCAUACCUUUGCUCUGAGCCAAUCAGAUCACAGCAUUUUAGCAGCUUAUAACAGUUGUUUGUUUCUGGCCAAUGAUGAUAAGUGUUGUGAAACCUGGCCCUGGCAAUCAUUAGUGAUGUGAAGUUUCAGAUUAUCUUGGAUUCUGAGCUGAAAGCAAUGUAUAAACAUGUUUUCAAUAUUCAUACCCUCUCCUCUCCUUUUCACUAUCUACCUAUUAAUCUCAUCAAUAAUGGUGUAGUGUGAAUGUUUCAGAUAUAUGGGGCCAUUCGCAUAAAAACGAAAAUUUGUGAUAACAUUACUAUUAGUGGUAAUUUCCUCAGAAACCAUGUUUUUGUAUAGCUGUUGCGUAAUGUUACCAUGGUAGUUACCAUUGAAAGGACAGUUUAUUUUAAUGGUUGGUUUUGUGACAUGGGGCCACAGAGAUAAUUAAGAUGACUAUUUCUUUCAUCAGGGGCGGGGUUUAUUUGCCAGUACAGUGAGAAUUCAUUCUUUGUCCAAACAUUAUUAACCCCAAUGGACUGGCUUUAUUCAUGUAAUGUCGAGCAUAAAUUUGGGACAUUGUAUUGGCAGAAUGAAAGAACAAGUUUAAUGACAGCCCUGUCUAAAUUAUUUAAAAUCAAUCAAAUCAGGAUGCUGUAGGUUUGCAAAUGAGAAAAUGAAUUGAUCAUUUGGAAAGUUAAAAUGAUCGAAAUCUCUAUGGGGGGACAUGGUUACAUUGCUAAUGUUGAUAUACUACCGCUUUGUCUUCGGUUUUGACAAUGGGUCAGUCAUGUUAAUUAUACUCCAGUAUCAUAAACACUCCAAUACUUCAAAAGUGUAGUGGUAAUUCAUUGAGUUUUUUUCUUUUCUUCUUUUCAGCCAUUCCAGAAUUUAAAUUUGGCAUCUAGAUGGGCUUUAACCCAGAUGUAUGAUAGCUUUCAUUAAAUCUAGUUGUAUUAUUUUCUUUUCAGAAUUUAUUUGCACCCACUGAAUCUCCUUUCACUGGGGCAUGGUACACAAACUUUGCACUCGAUAACGUGUGAAAGAAACGUCCAAUACCAGUCCUGAUUAUUGUGUGCUUGUGAUUGAACAAAGACAAAGUUGCAUGGUUUGGGGAGUUUAGAUGCAAAGUCUUCUGUAGCUUCCCUAGGGUUGAUUAUAGUCCAAUUGAUCAAUGAGAGUGCGGUUUAUGCCAUUAAUUAGUGAAAAUGGAUUGUAGCUUGUUGAAUGUAGCGAUCUUGUAUCAAAACGCCCCCUCUCUAUAAUAUAUCCGUGUUAUUUUCUACUUUCAUUACCAUAAUUUUCAAACUGUUGUAUUUUCUAUCAAUUUCGAUGGUGAUGUUUUUUUUCUCUCUCUUGUGAUCAUAUGUUUAUGUAUCUUGUAAGAAUCAAAGCUAUUCCAUGUUGAUGUGUUAUGUGGAAAUACCAUGUGCGGAUUAAGUUGGAGUUGGCCUCAAACAAACUGGAUUUGUCUAUAAUACAUGUAUAUAGUGCAGUUUUGGUUCUCACUUAUAGUUUCAUAAGUAUCUGAUUUGUUUUGUUUAAGUAAAAAAAAAAUAAAGAGCUAAAUAUUUGAAUAGUGUUAGAGAACUAAUGGAAAACAGUUUACUCAACAGUCAUGUUCAUUUUGGAAGUUUAGGGAUUUUGUUGUAAAUUGAGAAAGUUUUUGAAAUUAACAUUGUAAGGAAUUGCUGGUAAUUCUCAAAAUCGUGUGUCUCUGUUAUAGUGUCUUAUGUAAGUCUUACUAAGAGGCAAAUAAUUUUUCUAUACACCGUGAUCUCCAUGAUCAUUUUCGACUGCAUUUAUUGAGAAGGGUGAAACAAGAAGUAGUGUUCACUAUCAAUUUCCAAACAUUUAAAUGACAAACAGGUUUCCCAGCUAUACAAUUGAAAAAGAAAAAUGUGACAAAUUGAUGUCUUUAACCUUUCCAAAGGGCAGAAAGUUGAGGACUUGGAUUUGGGGGAUGGAAUCCUUAAAAAUGAAAAUGUAUUGGUCUUUGAUUGCUUGCCCAAUUUGCAUAAUCAGUUGCAUGAAUGGUAAUUAAGUACUGAUAAACGGGAUUUUCUUCGAAAGUCUUUUUUCAGGGGGGGGGGUGGAAUGUUGCAAGUUUAGCUGGGAACCCUGUCUUUGUCAGAAAACAGUGAUUUUCUGUGAGUUUUAUGUAUCUGAUGUGUGGGUAUAUAUAUAUAGAAUAAAAAUUUCUCCUCAUAAAUGAAUUACAAAUUGGUGGAUAACCUAAGAUGAUGAAGAUACAUGCAGACUUCUUUGUCGUGUUACUUGGUUUUCCAAAUCUUUUUUAUAAAAUGUUGUAGAGGUUACUAUCGCCCCACUAUCACAUUUGAGAAUCAUAGCCAUUCUGUUAUGCAUAAAGGAGAAUAAAUGUCAGAAUACAUGUA